rnacentral:rRNA from 1 species
UACGGGGGGGGCAAGCGUUGUUCGGAAUUACUGGGCGUAAAGGGCGCGUAGGCGGCCUUCUAAGUCGGACGUGAAAUCCCUCGGCUCAACCGAGGAACUGCGUCCGAUACUGAAAGGCUUGAAUCCGGGAGAGGGAUGUGGAAUUCCAGGUGUAGCGGUGAAAUGCGUAGAUAUCUGGAGGAAUACCGGUGGCGAAGGCGGCAUCCUGGACCGGUAUUGACGCUGAGGCGCGAAAGCUAGGGGAGCAAACGGG